GACGAACGCUGGCGGCGUGCUUAACACAUGCAAGUCGAACGGAAAGGCCCUGCUUUUGUGGGGUGCUCGAGUGGCGAACGGGUGAGUAACACGUGAGUAACCUGCCCUUGACUUUGGGAUAACUUAAGGAAACUGGGGCUAAUACCGGAUAGGAGCUCCUGCUGCAUGGUGGGGGUUGGAAAGUUUCGGCGGUUGGGGAUGGACUCGCGGCUUAUGAGCUUGUUGGUGGGGGAGUGGCUUACCAAGGCUUUGACGGGUAGCCGGCCGGAGAGGGUGACCGGCCACAUUGGGCCUGCGAUACGGCCCAGACUCCUACGGGAGGCAGCAGUGGGGAAUAUUGCACAAUGGGCGGAAGCCUGAUGCAGCGACGCCGCGUGCGGGAUGACGGCCUUCGGGUUGUAAACCGCUUUCGCCUGUGACGAAGCGUGAGUGACGGUAAUGGGUAAAGAAGCACCGGCUAACUACGUG
rnacentral:rRNA from 1 species